rnacentral:tRNA from 1 species
GUAAAGGUGCCAGAAUUAAUGGGAUUAAUUUAGGAUUAAUUUAUGAUUUUUUAUCUCUUUAUU